GCAAGUCGAACGCGAAAGCUCUUCGGAGUGAGUAGAGUGGCGCACGGGUGAGUAACACGUAGGUAAUCUACCCUUUGGCUGGGGACAACAUUCCGAAAGGGGUGCUAAUACCGCAUAAAACCACGCUGCCCCCGGGUGAAGUGGGAAAAGGUGGCCUCUUCUUGACAGCUAUGACCAAAGGAUGAGCCUGCGUCCCAUCAGCUAGUUGGUAAGGUAAUGGCUUACCAAGGCGAAGACGGGUAGCUGGUUUGAGAGGAUGAUC
rnacentral:rRNA from 1 species